CAGGGAGACAACAAAAUGUUUAAUAUUAUUAUUUUGUCACCUUAGGUCGAUCGGUAUCUCACGUUCUUAAUUUUGUUAAGAAUUUCAUUUCCUAAGUUUUUCUAGGUCACACCCAUUAUUUUUCCUGGGCCAUUAGCUCAGGUGGUUAGAGCGCACCCCUGAUAAGGGUGAGGUCCCUGGUUCAAGUCCAGGAUGGCCCAUAUCUCUAUGUUGGGGGUAUAGCUCAGUUGGUAGAGCGCCUGCUUUGCAAGCAGGAUGUCAGCGGUUCGAGUCCGCUUACCUCCACUGAUUACCACCUCUUACAUAAUCUGUAGAAAGGAGAUGUUUUGAGUUGUGAUCUAAUCCUGAACGAAUCUAGCUUCCUAAUGAAAUUAUUAAGAUGCUGGACUCAUUGAAUUAAUUUCAUUGUUUUCAGAGAACCUUGACAACUGCAUAGAUUAUUUUAAAGACAAUAAGCAUCUCUAAUGAUGCAGAUUUAUUAUUUGUGCGAAUGCAUUAAUAACAAUUCUAUUAAGCUGAUGCUUCAAUUUUGAAGUUAUU
rnacentral:tRNA from 1 species